CAGGCCUAACACAUGCAAGUCGAGCGGAAACGACUUAUCUGAACCUUCGGGGAACGUUAAGGGCGUCGAGCGGCGGACGGGUGAGUAAUGCCUAGGAAAUUGCCCUGAUGUGGGGGAUAACCAUUGGAAACGAUGGCUAAUACCGCAUGAUGCCUACGGGCCAAAGAGGGGGACCUUCGGGCCUCUCGCGUCAGGAUAUGCCUAGGUGGGAUUAGCUAGUUGGUGAGGUAAUGGCUCACCAAGGCGACGAUCCCUAGCUGGUCUGAGAGGAUGAUCAGCCACACUGGAACUGAGACACGGUCCAGACUCCUACGGGAGGCAGCAGUGGGGAAUAUUGCACAAUGGGCGCAAGCCUGAUGCAGCCAUGCCGCGUGUGUGAAGAAGGCCUUCGGGUUGUAAAGCACUUUCAGUCGUGAGGAAGGUAGUGUCGUUAAUAGCGUCAUUAUUUGACGUUAGCGACAGAAGAAGCACCGGCUAACUCCGUGCCAGCAGCCGCGGUAAUACGGAGGGUGCGAGCGUUAAUCGGA
rnacentral:rRNA from 1 species